UGAGUUUAAGAGCCUGUAAGCCAAGAUUUCCUUCCAGUGGACAUCAGGCUAUCUGAGACAAGAAACUCAUACUAAGAAGAGAGCCAUAUAAUUUGAAGUUCACAAAGAUGGUGAUCAACAAGCCAGCAGAAUUAUAGAUGGAGCUGUUCUGUGAGAAUACUCUGGGAAGGCCUGUAUAAAAAAGUCGAUGGCGGCAAGAAGACGGAACAUAAGGAAAGCUGGAAUAGCUGCUC
rnacentral:lncRNA from 1 species